GGGCCCGUAGCUCAAUGGAAGAGCAGUCGGCUCAUAACCGAUAGGUCGCAGGUUCGAUCCCUGCCGGGCCCACCA
rnacentral:tRNA from 1 species